rnacentral:rRNA from 1 species
GACGAACGCUGGCGGCGUGCUUAACACAUGCAAGUCGAACGGAAAGGCCCUGCUUUUGUGGGGUGCUCGAGUGGCGAACGGGUGAGUAACACGUGAGUAACCUGUCCUUGACUUUGGGGUAACUUCAGGCAACUGGGGCUAAUACCGGCUAGGAGCUCCUGCUGCUUGGUGGGGGUUGGAUGGUUUCGGCGGUUGGGGAUGGACUCGCGGCUUAUCAGCUUGUUGGUGGGGUAGUGGCUUACCAAGGCUUUGAAGGGUAGCCGGCCUGGGAGGGUGACCGGCCACAUUAGGACUGAGAUACGGCACAGACUACUACGGGACGCAGCAGUGGGGAAUAUAGCACAGUAGGCGGAAGCCUGAUGCAGCAACGCCGCGUGCGGGAUGACGGCCUGCGGGUUGGGAACCGCUUUCGCCUGUGACGAAGCGAGAGUGACGGUAACGGGUGAAGAAGCACCGGCUAACUACGUG